rnacentral:rRNA from 1 species
AAAGAUUAAGCCAUGCAUGUCUAAGUAUAAGCAAUUAUACAGCGAAACUGCGAAUGGCUCAUUAUAUAAGUUAUCGUUUAUUUGAUAGUACCUUACUACUUGGAUAACCGUGGUAAUUCUAGAGCUAAUACAUGCUACAAGCCCUGACUUCGGAAGGGGCGUAUUUAUUAGAUUAAAAACCAAUGCCCUUCGGGGCUCUCUGGUGAUUCAUGAUAACUUCUCGAAUCGCACGGCCUUGCGCCGGCGAUGGCUCAUUCAAAUUUCUUCCCUAUCAACUUUCGAUGUUUGGGUAGUGGCCAAACAUGGUUGCAACGGGUAACGGAGGGUUAGGGCUCGACCCCGGAGAAGGAGCCUGAGAAACGGCUACUACAUCCAAGGAAGGCAGCAGGCGCGCAAAUUACCCAAUCCCGACUCGGGGAGGUAGUGACAAUAAAUACUGAUACAGGGCUCUUUCGGGUCUUGUAAUCGGAAUGAGUACAAUUUAAAUCCCUUAACGAGGAACAAUUGGAGGGCAAGUCUGGUGCCAGCAGCCGCGGUAAUUCCAGCUCCAAUAGCGUAUAUUAAAGUUGUUGUGGUUAAAAAGCUCGUAGUUGAACCUUGGGCCUGGCUGGCCGGUCCGCCUCACCGCGUGCACUGGUCCGGCC